AGGAAUAUUGGUCAAUGGGCGUAAGCCUGAACCAGCCAAGUCGCGUGAGGGAGGACGGCCCUACGGGUUGUAAACCUCUUUUGCCGGGGGACAAACGGCGGCACGCGUGCCGUCCUGAGGGUACCCGGAGAAAAAGCAUCGGCUAACUCCGUGCCAGCAGCCGCGGUAAUACGGAGGAUGCGAGCGUUAUCCGGAUUUAUUGGGUUUAAAGGGUGCGUAGGCGGGAUGCCAAGUCAGCGGUAAAAAUUCGGGGCUCAACCCCGUCCGGCCGUUGAAACUGGGGGCCUUGAGUGGGCGAGAAGAAGGCGGAAUGCGUGGUGUAGCGGUGAAAUGCAUAGAUAUCACGCAGAACCCCGAUUGCGAAGGCAGCCUUCCGGCGCCCUACUGACGCUGAGGCACGAAAGUGCGGGGAUCGAACAG
rnacentral:rRNA from 1 species